AUUGAACGCUGGCGGAAUGCUUUACACAUGCAAGUCGAGCGGCAGCGCGGGGCAACCUGGCGGCGAGCGGCGAACGGGUGAGUAACAUAUCGGAACGUACCCCGUCGUGGGGGAUAACUAUCCGAAAGGAUAGCUAAUACCGCAUACGACCUGAGGGUGAAAGGGGGGGAUCGCAAGACCUCUCGCGAUGGGAGCGGCCGAUAUCGGAUUAGCUAGUUGGUGGGGUAAAGGCCUACCAAGGCGACGAUCCGUAGCUGGUCUGAGAGGACGACCAGCCACACUGGAACUGAGACACGGUCCAGACUCCUACGGGAGGCAGCAGUGGGGAAUUUUUGGGACAAUGGGGGCGAACCCUGAUCCAGCCAUUCCGCGUGAGUGAAGAAGGCCUCGGUUGGUUAAGUACGUACUUUCGGUCGUACGGAAC
rnacentral:rRNA from 1 species